AUUGAACGCUGGCGGCAGGCCUAACACAUGCAAGUCGAGCGGAUGAGAAGAGCUUGCUCUUCGAUUCAGCGGCGGACGGGUGAGUAAUGCCUAGGAAUCUGCCUGGUAGUGGGGGACAACGUUUCGAAAGGAACGCUAAUACCGCAUACGUCCUACGGGAGAAAGCAGGGGACCUUCGGGCCUUGCGCUAUCAGAUGAGCCUAGGUCGGAUUAGCUAGUUGGUGAGGUAAUGGCUCACCAAGGCGACGAUCCGUAACUGGUCUGAGAGGAUGAUCAGUCACACUGGAACUGAGACACGGUCCAGACUCCUACGGGAGGCAGCAGUGGGGAAUAUUGGACACUGGGCGAAAGCCUGAUCCAGCCAUGCCGCGUGUGUGAAGAAGGUCUUCGGAUUGUAAAGCACUUUAAGUAGGGAGGAAGGGCAGUAAGUUAAUACCUUGCUGUUUUGACGUCACCGACAGAAUAAGCACCGGCUAACUCUGUGCCAGCCGCCGCCGUAAUAC
rnacentral:rRNA from 1 species